GAGAGGUCAAAAGGCGGCACUGCAUGAGGCAAUAGAAAGGUGGACACGCGAUAAUAUCGAUCACCACCUCCUUCUCUGUCCGUGUGCCUGUGUGUGAGGUGGGCUUAGAGAUAAUCGCAGCCCAUAAUCUUUCGUCGUCCAUGGACUCCAAUUCACAACAAACAGGUAGUAGUCCUCCUACUAAACCUUGGGAACAAGCCGGGACCUCAUCAUCUGACCCUACACCUUUUAAACCAUCAACGCCUGGCAGCACCAGUGAUGUAGUUGAGGCAUCUGGAACAGCAAAACCCGGUGAAAUUGUUUCAGCUGCUGAUAGGAAUACAAUUGUGAAUAGAAAUUCUCUUGGUAGGCCUGUACCGACUAGGCCGUGGGAGCAGCAAACAUAUGGGAGCACAUAUGGAGGCUAUGGCUCUGGUCUAAAUUAUAAUUCUGGUUAUGGUUCUGGAAUGUAUGGUUCUUCAUAUGGUGGAUUUGGAGGGUCUUAUGGCGGUGGCUUGUAUGGAAACAACAUGUAUAGAGGAGGUUAUGGUGGUCUGUAUGGAGGCAGUAUGUAUGGUGGGGGAAUGUACAAUAGUGGUUUUGGUGGUCCAAUGGGUGGUUAUGGAAUGGGCACGGGCCCAUACGGUGAUCAAGAUCCGAAUAAUCCCUAUGGUGCUCCAUCAUCUCCUCCUGGCUUUUGGAUUUCUUUCCUUCGAGUGAUGCAAGGUGUAGUGAACUUUUUAGGCCGGAUAUCAAUUCUGAUAGACCAGAGCACCCAGGCUUUUCACAUGUUCAUGACAGCACUGCUUCAGCUCUUUGAUCGCACUGGCUUAUUGUAUGGAGAGUUAGCCAGAUUUGUUUUGAGAUUGUUGGGAAUCAAAACAAAGCCCAGGAAGGUUCAAGGACCAGGACCUGAUGGACUUCCUACUCCUCACAAUCCCCACGGGAAUCAUAACUACAUCGAGGGUCCUAAGGGUGGUCCAAGCGGCGCGUGGGAUAAUGUAUGGGGAUACACUGCUGGCAAUUAAGCUGGGAAUUUGCACUUGACAAAAUAGGAAACAAAAUAGAAUUGAAAGGUAUGGUAUGCAAGGAGUUUCAAUGGAUGCAAAGGUGUUUGGUUUGGCUUGCUAAAUUGCAUCUGCUCUGUUUGCUUGAAAUAAAAAUCUCUCGAGAGACCGGCAGCAUCCACCAUUUGUGCCAAAAUCUUCCCGGCUGACUUUGUACCAAGGUCCCCCUAAUGUAGAAAGGGGAAGAUAUAACAGUGACCCCCUAAAUGUUGGAAAGAAGAGAUUUUUGACGAUUGGAAACUUUAUAUUUGAAUAAAUGAAUUAUCAUUCGGAGCAAAGACUGAUAGGCUUGUGUGCCUUUCAAGUGAGUCAUUUAUUCAAAGCAAGUUAUAUAGGAAGGAUAGUUGGAGCAGCUUCGGAUUUCCUGCAUCUUGUUAUGUUACUAAAAUGGAAUUGUUCUGUUGAAGUCGUGCCCAGGCUAACCAAGCAUGUGGUGCAGGGAAUGAGGUAGAAGUGAGAUACUGUUCUAAGGCUAGUACUCUCAGGGACAUAUCAGCACCAUCAAUGGGCUUUGUAGUCCCCUUGGGAGGAUGAAAUGAACGUCAAGAGCUUUGUCAAGCCUACUUCCUUUACCCCACCGCCCAUGGCUUUCUGGUUUGCAUGCGAUUUCUUUGGAUCUUGUCUCAGCUCGCUGGCAUCACUGGGCAUAGGGUACUCACUAAUCCGGUUGAGCCUUGCAUGUCCCCUACGCUUCCCUCGUCUUUAUAGAUCCUGGCGGCGGUACUUUGUUGAUUUCGACGAUCCUCAGCUGCGCCAUUAUGCUUCUUGCCUAGUUAGGAUUUUCCAGUUUUGGGCUUCGGCCAUUCGGUGAGCUGGAUGUAUAGGAUCCCUGUUUUAAGUCUUGGGUUAAUGUUUGGACUUUGUCUUCAUCUAUAUGUGCUUGCUGGUAAGGCUUGUGUUUUAAGUCUUUAUAAUGAGUCUAGCCCAUAUAAUGCUACACUUCAUCUAAUGAAUAUUUCUAUCUUAGAUUAAAAAAAAAGAAAAAAAAAGUUGAGAGAGAAAAAGCUUACCUGAUUUGUCUUCACCUUUUUGGCAUCCACACGAUGAUUAGACAAUUAGGAUUUUGAGUUUGCAUGACAUAAUGAAUGAAAUUUGGCAAUUUAUUGAUUAUGUAAUAUGUAAGACUUUUUACAUCUUAUAUUUAAUUAUUUAUUAUUUUAUAAUAAAUUAGCGUCUCAGUUCACUCAAGCGAAUGCCUAGCACCUUAGACAAUGGAGGACCUUCUCGCCUUAAGGAUGCCUAGCGCUUUUGACAACAAUGAUUAAAAUGUACCAAAAUUUUUUUUACUAGCGGCAGACUUAACUUGCCAUUCAAUUUUACACAAACAGAAGAAUAUGAACUUCAAAAUAAGCAGAUUUCAGUUAUCCAAAGGAAAGUAUCAACUAAAGUAACACAAUUUUUUUUAUUAGCAGCAGCCUCAACUUUUCCUCCCAAUUUUGCACAGACAGGAGAAGUAAACUUCCAAAUCAGCAGAUUUCAUUUUUCUAAAGGAAUUCAGUAAUUAAAUCCGUAUAUUACAGAUGGAAGAAAGAAAUUUAGAAAAGUUCAAUAGAUUUCCAGUUUUAC
rnacentral:misc_RNA from 1 species